UAGAGUUUGAUCCUGGCUCAGAAUCAACGCUGGCGGCGUGCCUAACACAUGCAAGUCGCACGCGAGGUCCGGGGCAACUCGGAUAGUAGCGUGGCAAACGGGUGAGUAACGCGUGGGUAACGUACCCUCGAGUGGGGAAUAACUCCGGGAAACCGGAGCUAAUACCGCAUACCGAGAGGGGGUCGCAAGAUCCGCUCUUGAAAGCCUCCGGGCGCUUGAGGAGCGGCCCGCGUCCGAUUAGCUAGUUGGUGGGGUAAGAGCCCACCAAGGCGACGAUCGGUAGCCGGUCUGAGAGGACGGACGGUCACACUGGGACUGAGACACGGCCCAGACUCCUACGGGAGGCAGCAGUGGGGAAUCUUGGGCAAUGGGCGCAAGCCUGACCCAGCAACGCCGCGUGGAGGAUGAAGUCUUUCGGGACGUAAACUCCUGUCUAGUGGGACGAAGACUCCGCAAGGGGUUUGACGGUACCACUGGAGGAAGCCACGGCUAACUCCGUGCCAGCAGCCGCGGUAAUACGGGGGUGGCAAGCGUUGUUCGGAAUUACUGGGCGUAAAGGGCGCGUAGGCGGUCGGACCUGUCGCUGGUGAAAGCCGAGGGCUCAACCCUCGAAGGGCCAGCGAAACAGUUCGACUUGAGUUCCGGAGGGGAAGGCGGAAUUCCGGGUGUAGCGGUGAAAUGCGUAGAUAUCCGGAGGAACACCGGUGGCGAAGGCGGCCUUCUGGACGGUGACUGACGCUGAGGCGCGAAAGCCAGGGGAGCAAACGGGAUUAGAUACCCCGGUAGUCCUGGCCCUAAACGAUGAGCACUUGGUGUGGGGGGUUUUUAUUCCCUUCGUGCCGUAGGUAACCCGAUAAGUGCUCCGCCUGGGGAGUACGGCCGCAAGGCUGAAACUCAAAGGAAUUGACGGGGGCCCGCACAAGCGGUGGAGCAUGUGGUUCAAUUCGACGCAACGCGAAGAACCUUACCCAGGCUCGAACGGCGGGUAGUAGGACCUGGAAACAGGAACGAACUGACUCUGUCAGGAGCCCGUCGAGGUGCUGCAUGGCUGUCGUCAGCUCGUGCCGUGAGGUGUUGGGUUAAGUCCCGCAACGAGCGCAACCCUCGCCCCUAGUUGCUCACUCCGGUUUACCGGAAAGCACUCUAGGGGGACCGCUAGCGAUAAGCUGGAGGAAGGUGGGGACGACGUCAAGUCAUCAUGGCCUUUAUGUCUGGGGCCACACACGUGCUACAAUGGACGGUACAGAGGGCUGCCAACGCGCAAGCGGGAGCCAAUCCCUGAAAACCGUUCUCAGUCCGGAUUGCCGUCUGCAACUCGACGGCAUGAAGCUGGAAUCGCUAGUAAUCGCGGAUCAGCACGCCGCGGUGAAUACGUUCCCGGGCCUCGUACACACCGCCCGUCACAUCACGAAAGUGGGCUGUACUAGAAGUCGCCGAGCCAACCCGCAAGGGGGGCCAGCGCCGACGGUAUGGUUCAUGAUUGGGGUGAAGUCGUAACAAGGUAACCGUA
rnacentral:rRNA from 1 species